AUGCAGUCGGGCGGCAAGUUGAGGAGUAAUCUGAGACCUAGAGCGGCGGACGGGUGCGUAACGCGUAUGCAACCUGCCCCUUACCGGGGGAUAGCCCGGGGAAACCCGGAUUAAUACCCCAUAGGAUAACACUGUGGCAUCACGGAGUUAUUAAAGAUUUAUCGGUAAGGGAUGGGCAUGCGUAGGAUUAGUUAGUUGGCGGGGUAACGGCCCACCAAGACUUUGAUCCUUAGGGGUUCUGAGAGGAAGGUCCCCCACACUGGCACUGAGAUACGGGCCAGACUCCUACGGGAGGCAGCAGUAGGGAAUAUUGGGCGAUGGGCGGGAGCCUGACCCAGCCAUGCCGCGUGCAGGAAGAAGGCGUUAUGCGUUGUAAACUGCUUUUAUACAGGAAGAAAAGGCCCAUGCGUGGGACAUUGCCGGUACCGUAUGAAUAAGCACCGGCUAACUCCGUGCCAGCAGCCGCGGUAAUACGGAGGGUGCAAGCGUUGUCCGGAUUUAUUGGGUUUAAAGGGUGCGUAGGCGGCCGAUUAAGUCAGCGGUGAAAGUCUGUGGCUCAACCAUAGAAGCGCCGUUGAUACUGGUUGGCUUGAGUGCCGUAUGGGUACAUGGAAUUGAUGGUGUAGCGGUGAAAUGCAUAGAUACCAUCAGGAACACCGAUAGCGUAGGCAUUGUACUGUGCGGCAACUGACGCUGAGGCACGAAAGCAUGGGUAGCGAACAGGAUU
rnacentral:rRNA from 1 species